rnacentral:rRNA from 1 species
AUUGAACGCUGGCGGCAUGCCUUACACAUGCAAGUCGAACGGCAGCACGGGUGCUUGCACCUGGUUGCGAGUGGCGAACGGGUGAGUAAUACAUCGGAACAUGUCCUGUAGUGGGGGAUAGCCCGGCGAAAGCCGGAUUAAUACCGCAUCCUAUCUACGGUUGACAGCGGGGGUCCUUCGGGCCUCGCGCUAUAGGGUUGGCCGAUGGCUGAUUAGCUAGUUGGUGGGGUAAAGGCCUACCAAGGCGACGAUCAGUAGCUGGUCUGAGAGGACGACCAGCCACACGGGGACUGAGACACGGCCCAGACUCCUACGGGAGGCAGAGGUGGGGAAUUUUGGACAAUGGGCGAAAGCCUGAUCAAGAAAUGCCGCGUGUGUGAAGAAGGCCUUCGGGUUGUAAAGCACUUUUGUACGGAAAGAAAUCCUUGGCCCUAAUACGGUCGGGGGAUGACGGUACCGGAAGAAUAAGCACCGGCUAACUACGUG